rnacentral:rRNA from 1 species
GCUACAGGCUUAACACAUGCAAGUCGAGGGGCAGCAUGGUCUUAGCUUGCUAAGGCCGAUGGCGACCGGCGCACGGGUGAGUAACACGUAUCCAACCUGCCGUCUACUCUUGGACAGCCUUCUGAAAGGAAGAUUAAUACAAGAUGGCAUCAUGAGUCCGCAUGUUCACAUGAUUAAAGGUAUUCCGGUAGACGAUGGGGAUGCGUUCCAUUAGAUAGUAGGCGGGGUAACGGCCCACCUAGUCUUCGAUGGAUAGGGGUUCUGAGAGGAAGGUCCCCCACAUUGGAACUGAGACACGGUCCAAACUCCUACGGGAGGCAGCAGUGAGGAAUAUUGGUCAAUGGGCGAGAGCCUGAACCAGCCAAGUAGCGUGAAGGAUGACUACCCUAUGGGUUGUAAACUUCUUUUAUAAAGGAAUAAAGUCGGGUAUGGAUACCCGUUUGCAUGUACUUUAUGAAUAAGGAUCGGCUAACUCCGUGCCAGCAGCCGCGGUAAUACGGAGGAUCCGAGCGUUAUCCGGAUUUAUUGGGUUUAAAGGGAGCGUAGAUGGAUGUUUAAGUCAGUUGUGAAAGUUUGCGGCUCAACCGUAAAAUUGCAGUUGAUACUGGAUAUCUUGAGUGCAGUUGAGGCAGGCGGAAUUCGUGGUGUAGCGGUGAAAUGCUUAGAUAUCACGAAGAACUCCGAUUGCGAAGGCAGCCUGCUAAGCUGCAACUGACAUUGAGGCUCGAAAGUGUGGGUAUCAAACAGGAUUAGAUACCCUGGUAGUCCACACGGUAAACGAUGAAUACUCGCUGUUUGCGAUAUACUGCAAGCGGCCAAGCGAAAGCGUUAAGUAUUCCACCCUGGGGAGUACGCCGGCAACGGUGAAACUCAAAGGAAUUGACGGGGGCCCGCACAAGCGGAGGAACAUGUGGUUUAAUUCGAUGAUACGCGAGGAACCUUACCCGGGCUUAAAUUGCAGAUGAAUUACGGUGAAAGCCGUAAGCCGCAAGGCAUCUGUGAAGGUGCUGCAUGGUUGUCGUCAGCUCGUGCCGUGAGGAGUCGGCUUAAGUGCCAUAACGAGCGCAACCCUUGUUGUCAGUUACUAACAGGUUCCGCUGAGGACUCUGACAAGACUGCCAUCGUAAGAUGUGAGGAAGGUGGGGAUGACGUCAAAUCAGCACGGCCCUUACGUCCGGGGCUACACACGUGUUACAAUGGGGGGUACAGAGGGUCGCUACCACGCGAGUGGAUGCCAAUCCCCAAAACCUCUCUCAGUUCGGACUGGAGUCUGCAACCCGACUCCACGAAGCUGGAUUCGCUAGUAAUCGCGCAUCAGCCACGGCGCGGUGAAUACGUUCCCGGGCCUUGUACACACCGCCCGUCAAGCCAUGGGAGCCGGGGGUACCUGAAGUGCGUAACCGCGAGGAGCGCCCUAGGGUAAAACUGGUGACUGGGGCUAAGU